rnacentral:rRNA from 1 species
ACAGUCACUGACAUUAGAUACCCGUGUAGUCCAGGGUGUAAACGCUGCAGACUUGGUGUUGGAAGUCCUUUGGGGGCAUUCAGUGCCGGAGAGAAGUUGUUAAGUCUGCUACUUGGGGAGUACGUCCGCAAGGAUGAAACUUAAGGAAUUGCGGGGAGCACCACAACACGUGGAGCCUGCGGUUUAAUUGGAUUCAACGCCGGACAUCUCACCAGAGGCGACAGCUGUAUGAUAGCCAGGUUGAUGACUUUGCUUGACUAGCUG